UAACACGUGAGCAAUCUGCCUUUCAGAGGGGGAUACCGAUUGGAAACGAUCGUUAAUACCGCAUAACAUAAUUGAACCGCAUGAUUUGAUUAUCAAAGAUUUAUCGCUGAAAGAUGAGCUCGCGUCUGAUUAGCUAGUUGGUAAGGUAACGGCUUACCAAGGCGACGAUCAGUAGCCGGACUGAGAGGUUGAUCGGCCACAUUGGGACUGAGACACGGCCCAGACUCCUACGGGAGGCAGCAGUGGGGAAUAUUGCACAAUGGAGGAAACUCUGAUGCAGCGAUGCCGCGUGAGGGAAGAAGGUUUUAGGAUUGUAAACCUCUGUCUUCAGGGACGAAAAAAGACGGUACCUGAGGAGGAAGCUCCGGCUAACUACGUGCCAGCAGCCGCGGUAAUACGUAGGGAGCGAGCGUUGUCCGGAAUUACUGGGUGUAAAGGGAGCGUAGGCGGGAUCGCAAGUCAGAUGUGAAAACUAUGGGCUUAACCCAUAAACUGCAUUUGAAACUGUGGUUCUUGAGUGAAGUAGAGGUAAGCGGAAUUCCUAGUGCAGCGGUGAAAUGCGUAGAUAUUAGGAGGAACAUCAGUGGCGAAGGCGGCUUACUGGGCUUUAACUGACGCUGAGGCUCGAAAGCGUGGGGAGCAAACAGGAUUAGAUACCCUGGUAGUCCACGCCGUAAACGAUGAUUACUAGGUGU
rnacentral:rRNA from 1 species